CGAGGCCUUCAGCUUAGGGUGCACAUAGCUCACCACGCUAAGCGGCCCCUUCCCGCACCGGGAACUAGUCCUGGCAUCGGAGGCCCCGGGUUCAUAUCCCGCUCGGGGCUCAUC